rnacentral:rRNA from 1 species
UACGUAGGUGGCAAGCGUUGUCCGGAUUUAUUGGGUUUAAAGGGUGCGUAGGCGGCUUUGUAAGUCAGUGGUGAAAUAUGGCAGCUCAACUGUCAGGGUGCCAUUGAUACUGCGGAGCUUGAGUACAGAUGAGGUAGGCGGAAUUGACGGUGUAGCGGUGAAAUGCUUAGAUAUCGUCAAGAACACCGAUAGCGAAGGCAGCUUACUAGGCUGUAACUGACGCUGAGGCACGAAAGCGUGGGGAGCAAACGGG